rnacentral:lncRNA from 1 species
GUAGUUGCAAAGGCAUCAGCCUUAUUUCAACAAAUAAGUCUGUCACUAUGCAUUAGAUGUUAAAUAUAUCAGAAAAUAUCAACAGGACACCAUACUACAAAGCUGAAUGUACAAAACCAAGUUGCCUGAUUCAACAGACAAGGUUUCUACUUAAUUCUGGCUCCAUAACUCAUUGAGACAAUAAAAC